rnacentral:rRNA from 1 species
AGCCUACGUCCGAUUAGCUAGUUGGUGGGUAAGGGCCUACCAAGGCGACGAUCGGUAGCUGGUCUGAGAGGAUGAUCAGCCACACUGGAACUGAGACACGGUCCAGACUCCUACGGGAGGCAGCAGUGGGGAAUACUGGACAAUGGGGGCAACCCUGAUCCAGCAAUGCCGCGUGUGUGAAGACGGCCUGAGGGUUGUAAAGCACUUUCAGUGGGGAGGAGGGUCUUUAGGUUAAGAGCUAGAGGAUUGGACGUUACCCACAGAAGAAGCACCGGCUAACUCCGUG